rnacentral:lncRNA from 1 species
AUUAAAGGCGGGCCUUCCGGUUCCCAGCUCUGUCUUCUGCUUCCUGGUCCUGGCCCAAUGAGGGGCUCUUUACCACGUGAUCUCACCUCCUGGCCCUCUGCACUGUGAUGAACGGAGAUCCUCCUGGAACCAUGAGCCAGUGUGCCAUUCCUUCUGCCAGUGGUUUUUCAACUUGAGCCGUGAAUCAACAUCACCUGGAGAGCUUGUAAAAACACAGAGGUUGGGUUCCACUGCCUUGACUUCCUGGGUGUGUUGAUACUAUCAAAAUGCUUGGAAUGGAAAGGGAAGAUUCAGUCAUUAAGGAGACAUUUGCAUCACUUUGGAAAAUUCAGGUAGAUUUAGCCCAGGGCUUGAAUAGUCAGCCAUGGUCCAUUCCUUCUAGGUUAAAAGUGAGUUGUAAAUGCAAAUGGGGGAAACUCUGGGUCCACUGCUUGUUACUUAACACAGGUGCUGCCUGGUGGCUCAUCACUUCAACGUUCCCUGUUAGACGGGGACGGGUGGAGGGUGAGUGGUGGAGGGAGGGAGGAGCGGAGGGGGUUGCAGGGGUGUGAUGAGAGUCUGUUCUUUAGGGAAGACCACAACUUUUGCUUUAUUGAGUUUAUAACAGUUCCCGGUUCGGGCCGCUUCUUGUUUUGGCUUAGUGCAGUUAUUUUUCCUUUUCUAUUAUAAAUAUUAUCUGCACAACUCUCUUAGCUCUCCCAGUCCCAUUUAAGUGUCAUUAGGUUUCCCAUUAGCAGCUACUGUUGAUGGUUUCCU